rfam:Oryza glumipatula chromosome 11, whole genome shotgun sequence.
AAUAAACACAGCCAUUAAUUUUCAUAUCCAACUUUGAUCAUCCGUCUUAUUUAAAAUAAUUUUAUGAUUAGUAUUUUUAUUAUUAUUAGAUUAUAAAACAUGAAUAGUACUUUAUGCGUGACUUAUUUUUUUAGUUUUUUUUAAAAAAAUUAAAUAAGACGAACGAUUAAAAUUGGAUACAGAAACUCAUGACUGUGUUUAUU